CCUACGGGAGGCAGCAGUAGGGAAUAUUGCUCAAUGGGGGAAACCCUGAAGCAGCAACGCCGCGUGGAGGAUGAAGGUUUUCGGAUUGUAAACUCCUUUUGUUAGAGAAGAUAAUGACGGUAUCUAACGAAUAAGCACCGGCUAACUCCGUGCCAGCAGCCGCGGUAAUACGGAGGGUGCAAGCGUUACUCGGAAUCACUGGGCGUAAAGAGCGCGGAGGCGGGAUAGCAAGUCAGAUGUGAAAUCCUAUGGCUUAACCAUAGAACUGCAUUUGAAACUGUUAUUCUAGAGUAUGGGAGAGGUAGGUGGAAUUCUUGGGGUAGGGGUAAAAUGCGUAGAGAUCAAGAGGAAUACUCAUUGCGAAGGCGACCUGCUAGAACAUAACUGACGCUGAUGCGCGAAAGCGUGGGGAGCAAACAGGAUUAGAUACCCCUGUAGUC
rnacentral:rRNA from 1 species